rnacentral:hammerhead_ribozyme from 1 species
AUCCGGCUGAUGAGUCCCAAAUAGGAAGAAAUGCGCGUACUGGAU